AGCGUCAGCCCUGACGCUUGGAGCUGGAGUCUCUCUGCAGCCGGGACUUGAACCCAUGGUGCAUUUAAGACCGAGAUUGUGGUCAGACUGUCUGAAGGCGAUGGUUUGGAGCGACCAGGGCAUGCGCUAGAUACUGGAAGGAGUGAGUAGCUACGGCCAAACAAAAAUUUGGGCAAGUGGGAGCAAUGCUCCCUCUCCAUUGUGGAUAGGAACCUAAUCAUCAGAGUCUGCCAGUUUGGACGUAAUAGUGCUGGAAAGGGGUCCUGAACUAAGGGGAACUACACUGCAACAAUAUUUUAAUUGGCUCCUGAUGGGGUGACCAAGGUUUUGUGUGAUAGCAGUGAGCAGAGAGAUCCUAGCCUGCAAGGAGAACACACCUAAAACCUCUCUCUCCUUUGAGUGUAACAUUCCAUUAAACCUACAAGGCUAGCUAGCUGGCUUUUUCUUUAUAUCUCUGUAACCUCCUCUCUCUGAAAAAACUCCUGUCAAGAGGAAAAGGGGAAAAUUACCAGUCGAGACAUUGAAAAGCAAGUUU